AAGGAAGUCACAAGAACAGCGAAAGAGACCAGCGGACUUUCUUAUCAAAGCGUUUGGAUUCAACUGUGAAAAUGGCAGCCCACUCGGGCCCCCUCUCCGCCACAGAGAGCUUUUUUCUUUCACUUAUUAAACUUUCGCUGCAACUUCUCCCUGUGUCCACGCGCCUUAAUUUUCUGGGUUGUGAGACGAUGGACAACGAGCUCGGAUAACACCUUAGACAACGUGACCAGCAACCCUAGACCGUGUCGAUCCUACGUAUCAAAACUUGGGAGACUAAAACGGGGGUUAGAGGAAAAAUACAGCCUUGAAUACAAGAAAAAACCCAGAAAAACCUUGAUUUAAGCUUUGAUUUCAAGAAGCUGGACAACAACAUAAAUCAUAUCUAAGGACAGCAAAAGGCAGGUACGUCCCGGCCUGGCCUGCAUGGGGCGGGGGCCGCGGAAGAACCCUGCGCCCUCCACACGGGACUUGACGUCUGCUCUGCCCUGGCCCCUCCUCGCUGGAGCACCAUCAGCAGCAUUCAUGGAUGAGGACGCAGCUCACAGGAGGCCCUGCCGACCCUCGCUUCUGGUCCACACCCACCCGCUACCUGAGCAGGCCAAUGGAGGCUGGUUGCAUGCAGAGCCUCGAUUCCAUCAAUUCACUCGAGGCACGGGUGACUGGUGUUGGAGCCAGACUUGGGAUAGAAGCAGGAGCACCUACCGAGGGGCCCGCCUCCCAGUAGCAGGUAGGGUGCACAGGGUCAGCUUGCAUGGCCAGCAGGUGCAGGGCCCUCCCGGCCAGGCCCAGGAGCCGGGCGCGGAUCUCCACACAGCCCACGCUCAGCGGCUGCAGGCUCCCCAGCUGUGCCAGUGCCCCGUGUGCUAGAGUCCGCUUCAGCGUGAACCAUUGCUUCGAAAAGACAGACAUGUUACAGCUGCCACCCCAAGGGCAACCGCCCACCCUGCCCAGGGGACCCAGUGAGCCCGCCCUCUGCUGUGCCCUGUGGGUGGGAACACUGGGGAGCUCUGAGAAAGCCUUGCCCCGCAGGGAGGGUCUCCAGGGCUCUGGUGUGGGGGUCACAGACGUCUGCUCAUAGAACCUUAAUUCAGAGCUCACUGACAAAUCAGUUUUAGGCCCGUCUUUGGUCCAUUUAUACUUAUGUAAAUUAAUUUGAGUCAUGUUUCAUGAAGUCUCAGAAAACUCAAAAUGGAAGAAUGUAUAUUUCCCUCAAAACAUUCUACAUAUUCAACUUUUUUUUUUACCAAAAUGGAGUCCACCUCUAUUGAGCUCUUUAAUCCACAUAUGCAUUAAUUAUUAAUACGAAUUAAUUAGAGCAAAUUCAUGAGUCGGGAAGGGCAGCUGUGGGUCAUAUAGGAAACACCCCUGCAAUGGGACCUCGAUUUCAUGAGCCAAUUCAGUCUCCUCAAAUGGUGAGACAAUGCCCGGGAGCUCCCCCUGCUGCAAGAGGUCCCCAGCUGACCCGCACCGCCAGGUGCACAGUGGUGGAGACGGCUCCUGCUGGAACGGGGGUCCCAUCAGCUGCACUGUGGCCUGGCGCUCCCUCCACCGGGAAUCUGUGACCCCAGCAAUUACCAGGCCGACGGAAGUGUAGUCACUGGUGUUCUGCAGAUAGUCCGCCAGCAGCUUCUCCAGGGACCCCUGCUCACUCUGCUGCCCGUGGGCCUCCUCCCAGAUGAACUGGAGCAUGUCCAGAGCCAUUUCCACGAGGCCGAGCUUGAGGCGCGCCAGCUUCCUCAUCAGGGGCGUGUUGACGUUCUGCAACUGAGGGGGUCAGGCAUGCCUCUGAAGCAUGGAAGCUUCUGGUAAGCCUGAAUCUACAUCCCCACAACUUGGAUGAGGCAUAACCGACGUAAGAAACUCAUAACAAACUGCGCAGAUCUACAGUGGAAAACUGACACACUUUGAUCACGAAUACACCCGUGAAACCAUCACCACCUUCGAGAUAAUGCAGUAGCCCUUAUCCCCAAAUCUCUUCGCGUCCCCUCAUGUUCCCUCCCGGUCACCUAGCUGCCUGCCGGCACCCUGCAUUCCUUGGCAUUUUCCAGAACCGUACCUAAGUGGAGGCGCACAGAGUGCUGUCUUUCCGUCUGGUUCAUUUUCCUCGUUCUGGGGCUACUACCAAUAAAGCUGCUGCCAACAUUCAUGUGCAAGGUAUCCACAGAUCCUGAUCCACAGACGUGGUAUGUUCCUCCAUUUACUUAGGAAUUCUCAGAUCCUGAUCCACAGACGUGGUAUGUUCCUCCAUUUACUUAGGAAUUCUCAGAUCCUGAUCCACAGACGUGGUAUGUUCCUCCAUUUACUUAGGAAUUCUCAGAUCCUGAUCCACAGACCUGGUAUGUUCCUCCAUUUACUUAGACAUUCUCAGAUCCUGAUCCACAGACGUGGUAUGUUCCUCCAUUUACUUAAGAAUUCUCAGAUCCUGAUCCACAGACGUGGUAUGUUCCUCCAUUUACUUAGGAAUUCUCAGAUCCUGAUCCACAGACGUGGUAUGUUCCUCCAUUUACUUAAGAAUUCUCAGAUCCUGAUCCACAGACGUGGUAUGUUCCUCCAUUUACUUAGGAAUUCUCAGAUCCCAAUCCACAGACGUGGUAUGUUCCUCCAUUUACUUAGACAUUCUCAGAUCCUGAUCCACAGACGUGGUAUGUUCCUCCAUUUACUUAGGAAUUCUCAGAUCCUGAUCCACAGACGUGGUAUGUUCCUCCAUUUACUUAAGAAUUCUCAGAUCCUGAUCCACAGACGUGGUAUGUUCCUCCAUUUACUUAGGAAUUCUCAGAUCCUGAUCCACAGACGUGGUAUGUUCCUCCAUUUACUUAGGAAUUCUCAGAUCCUGAUCCACAGACGUGGUAUGUUUCUGCAUUUAGACAUUCUCAGAUCCUGACCCACAGACGUGGUAUGUUUCUCUAUUUACUUAGCUAUUCUCAGAUCCUGAUCCACAGACGCGGUCUGUUUCUCCAUUUACUUAGACAUUCUCAGAUCCUGAUCCACACACAUGGUAUGUUUCUCCAGUUACUUAGGCAUUCUCAAAUUCUGAUCCACAGACAUGAUGCAUUUCUCCAUUUACCUAGGUAUUCUCAAAUUUUUCUCAGUUAUCUUUUGUAGUUCUCAGAGUACAAGUUCUCACAUUUUUGGGACAGAUUUCAUUUUUAAAUGCUGUCAUAAAAUUGUUUCAAAAUUUUUAAUGUCUGAUUAUUUCUAGCAUGUAGAAAUAUACAACUGAUAUCUGCAUAUUGUUCUUAUAUCCUGCAACCUUACAAAACUCAGCAUUAGUAGCUUUAUUUUUUGGUGGAUUGCAUAGGACUGUGUAUGCAGACAACUAUGUUAUCUGUGAAUAAAAACAGUUUCAUUCCUUCCUUUCCAA